CGGUGUGCAACAUCCGGAAGUUGUCAGAAAAUCCAAAAAUGGUGGUGGAAAGUUGUGUUUUAUUAAGACAGUACGCAUAUUAUUUUCUGGCGGCACACCAUUAAACUAGUUAAGGAGGAAACCGAAACCGUUGCAGCCUUAAUGGAGGAUGUUUUAUGUACGAACCUGUCGCGGGGGGACACGGGUGUAGUAUCAGCAGGGCACUUUAAGCAAAGACGAUAGUGGAGAUCCAUAGCCCCCACUAGCGGCUGCCCAGAUUAACCACAGCAUGUUUGGAGUGGACAGAAGGAGACUUCAAUGGCAACAACAAACAAUUCUGAUUUCAAUGAUUUACUAUAAAGAUAACAUAAUUAUCUUAAAUAUCAAAUUUGUAUUUAUUUGAAAUAGUAAAUAUAUGUCAUCAUAAAUCUGCAACGAUAAGAUAUAACAAUGAUACGCGAGGACUUGCUGGCAAAAUGAAUGUGCAGCGCUAAUAAUACUCAAUUAAAACCGAGCAUAUAAACAACAGAAGACAGCACUGAACAGCCAUGCAGGUGAAGGAAUCAUAUUUUAUGCAGUGCUGGUGAAAUGGACAAUCAAACAUGUCCACUGUUGCUGCAUUGAAUAAAAAAAUUCCCAUGCAAUCUGAUACCUUGUGCUUUC